ACAGAUGGGAAACUAAGUCAAAGAAAAGCAAAAUAUUAGACUCAAGAUCAGCAAUUAAAAUGAGAUGGAGCGGAAUCUGUGAUUCAAUCGGUGGACUAUAAACUGAAUUUCUACUAAAACUUCAGCAUUUCAUCCCUCAGGUAAUCCUUUUUGUCCUCAUAAAGACUUGAGUUACAAGAGCCUUUUCUGAGGUCCUUCAGCUGGGUGGCCCAACCAUUAUCUGUCACCAUGACCCUGCUGCAUAGAGCGAGUAUAUGGACAAAGAAUCCCUGGAGCCAGUUUGAUGUACCAUCCUCCCACAAGCAGGUGCAACUCGCAUUACCCUGACUAAUGUACGAAGAUAAUCAAAUUGUGUUCGAAGAUACAACACACCUGUUAUGUGAAUACGAUAUUCCUCCUUGAAGAUCUUCUGGAAGAAAGGAAUCUUGAACUGCAUGUGAGGGGUGUGCAAACCAGGGAGAUUUACAUCAACGUCUCCCAUGAAAUGGGGGAAUUCCCAGUCCUGUCAGAGAAAAUCAAAUAAAAACAUAUUUGUGAUUUGUUUCAUUUCUAA